rnacentral:rRNA from 1 species
CUUUACUGUAGCCUGGUAUUGGGUUCGGGCUUUGACUGCGCAGGAUAGGUGGGAGACUGAGAAGUGUGCCUUGUGGGGCACAUAGAGUCAACGGUGAGAUACCACCCUGUCAGAGCUAGAAUUCUAACCUACACCCGUGAUCCGGGGAAGGAACCGUAUCAGGUGGGCAGUUUGACUGGGGCGGUCGCCUCCUAAAAGGUAACGGAGGCGCGCAAAGGUGUUCUCAGGCUGGUUGGAAAUCAGCCGUAGAGUGUAAAGGCAGAAGAACGCUUGACUGUGAGAGUGACAACUCAAGCAGGGUGGAAACACGGCCUUAGUGAUCCGACGGUAUGCGCGUGGAAGUGCCGUCGCUCAACGGAUAAGAGUUA